rnacentral:rRNA from 1 species
UACGUAGGGGGCAAGCGUUGUCCGGAAUCAUUGGGCGUAAAGAGCGUGUAGGCGGCCAGAAAAGUCCGCUGUGAAAACUCGAGGCUCAACUUCGAGCUGUCGGUGGAAACUUUCUGGCUAGAGUCCGGAAGAGGAGAAUGGAAUUCCUGGUGUAGCGGUGAAAUGCGCAGAUAUCAGGAAGAACACCCGUGGCGAAGGCGGUUCUCUGGGACGGUACUGACGCUGAGACGCGAAAGCGUGGGUAGCAAACAGG